CCAUCCUAACUGGCUAAAGCAAAAACAUAUUUUGUUAAAGGCUUAAGAUAGUAACUUGAAACUGAGCUUAUUGAAGGGACUUUUAAAACCACAGCACAGAUCAUGGCCACUAAUUUUGCCUCUAUGGCUACAACAAUCCAGAAGCUGUAAUCUCAGGAAGCUGCUGCCACACCUGCUGAUUUUAGAACCAAGAAGCAUAUCCCUGGUCGGGGAAAAAAGAGGCCUGAACCUCAGACCACAGAGACAGCUGCAGAAUCGUACUGCCUUUUCCAGAGUCAGUGCCAGCAAAACGGACAUCUUGGAGCAUAUCUGUUCCUCACCUCACCAUAAUCUAGUCCUGAAUCAAAUUCACACAGAAGUGCAUCUAAUUGGAAGCAUGACAUCAAGUCUCAUUCUUGAUGUGAUCAAGGCACUGCCUCUGUCCCAGACUGGACCAGCAUCAAGGAUGGGAUGAAAAGGAAGGUAAAAAGUGAAAAGAAGGAGAAGUACAGUGACCUACAGAAAAAGUGGUCAGAAAACUGCAUGGAUUGCCUUAGGAAUCUGUGAGUUCUUCAUGCCUGGCUGGGGAAGAAAGAAAGGAGAACCAGAGUUGCAGUACUACUUUGCUUGUGUCUACAGUGCUUAGUAACCAAGAAGGGGUAGAGUCUAGUAGGAGCUUCUGUGAAUUUACUUUGAAAAAUAGAGGUAAGGGAAAUGAUAGCAAGCUGGAAUCAUGUAUUUAUUUUAAGGCUAUUAUUAAAACCAUACCAUAGGAUUUCAACAUGUUUGUAAUAACAGUAAUGGAUGAUUCUAUCACACUCAUGGCUACUCUUCCAAAUUAGUUCAGGUUCUGCAAAGACACUUUUAUUCCAAUUGACUAGCCUGCCAUCAUCCUUCAUAAUAUCAAGAACUGUAGGCAGCCUAUUAAAAGUGGCAUCACAAAUCCUAAAACUCAUCCACUCUAGCAAUUUUCCAUUCCAUUCCACUUUACCUUUAUAUCCCAUUGCCACACCAAUAAAUCAUCAUAAACAGUCUCUGAACUCUUAAACUGAAGUAGUCUACUUGGCAUAAUACUAAUCCUUUCUCUUCUAAGUCUCCUAAAUUUGUUCUUUGACUAUACUUACUCUAUUAAUGAUUUUAGUGAACUAUACCAUAUAUUAAACAUGUAUAAUGCUAAUGUACAACUUAAAUCAUAAUAACAUGAAAA